rnacentral:rRNA from 1 species
CCUACGGGAGGCAGCAGUGAGGAAUAUUGGACAAUGGGCGCGAGCCUGAUCCAGCCAAGUAGCGUGAAGGAUGACUGCCCUCCGGGUUUUAAACAUCUUUUAUAAAGGAAUAAAGUGAGGCACGUGUGACUUUUUGUAUGUACUUUAUGAAUAAGGAUCGGCUAACUCCGUGCCAGCAGCCGCGGUAAUACGGAGGAUCCGAGCGUUAUCCGGAUUUAUUGGGUUUAAAGGGAGCGUAGAUGGGUUGUUAAGUCAGUUGUGAAAGUUUGCGGCUCAACCGUAAAAUUGCAAUUGAUACUGGCAGUCUUGAGUACAGUUGAGGUAGGCAGAAUUCGUGGUGUAGCGGUGAAAUGCUUAGAUAUCACGAAGAACUCCGAUUGCGAAGGCAGCUUACUAAACUGCCACUGACAUUGAUGCUCGAAAGUGUGGGGAUCAAACAGGAUUAGAUACCCUAGUAGUC